rnacentral:rRNA from 1 species
AUUGAACGCUGGCGGCAGGCCUAACACAUGCAAGUCGAACGCGUGGCGGACGGGUGAGUAAUGUCUGGGAAACUGCCCGAUGGAGGGGGAUAACUACUGGAAACGGUAGCUAAUACCGCAUACCAUCUGAUGUGCCCAGAUGGCAUUAGCUAGUAGGUGGGGUAACGGCUCACCUCGGCGACGAUCCCUUGCUGGUCUGAGAGGAUGACCAGCCACACUGGAACUGAGACACGGUCCAGACUCCGACGGGAGGCAGCAGUGGGGAAUAUUGCGCAAUGGGCGCAAGCCUGAUGCAGCAAUGCCGCGUGUAUGAAGAAGGUCUUCGGGUUGUAAAGUACUUUCAGCGAGGAAGCGUUACUCGCAGAAGAAGCACCGGCUAACUCCGUGCCAGCAGCCGCGGUAAUAC